AGUAACCUACCUUUCAGAGGGGAAUAACGUUCUGAAAAGAACGCUAAUACCGCAUAACGUACAGUUACCGCAUGGUAGCAGUACCAAAGGAGCAAUCCGCUGAAAGAUGGACUCGCGUCCGAUUAGCCAGUUGGUGGGGUAAAGGCCUACCAAGGCGACGAUCGGUAGCCGGACUGAGAGGUUGAACGGCCACAUUGGGACUGAGGCACGGCCCAGACUCCUACGGGAGGCAGCAGUGGGGGAUAUUGCACAAUGGGGGAAACCCUGAUGCAGCAACGCCGCGUGUGGGAAGAAGGUUUUCGGAUUGUAAACCACUGUUCUUGGUGAAGAUAAUGACGGUAGCCAAGGAGAAAGCUCCGGCUACCUACGUGCCAGCAGCCGCGGUAAUACGUAGGGAGCAAGCGUUGUCCGGAUUUACUGGGUGUAAAGGGUACGUAGGCGGCUAGGCAAGUCAGACGUGAAAACCAUGGGCUCAACCUGUGGACUGCGUUUGAAACUGUUUAGCUUGAGUGAAGUAGAGGUAGGCGGAAUUCCCGGUGUAGCGGUGAAAUGCGUAGAGAUCGGGAGGAACACCAGUGGCGAAGGCGGCCUACUGGGCUUUAACUGACGCUGAGGCACGAAAGCAUGGGUAGCAAACAGGAUUAGAUACCCUGGUAGUCCAUGCCGUAAACGAUGAUUACUAGGUGUGGGGGGUCUGACCCCCUCCGUGCCGGAGUUAAC
rnacentral:rRNA from 1 species